rnacentral:rRNA from 1 species
UAUUGGGCGUAAAGCGAGCGCAGGCGGUUUUUUAAGUCUGAUGUGAAAGCCCUCGGCUUAACCGAGGAAGUGCAUCGGAAACUGGGAAACUUGAGUGCAGAAGAGGACAGUGGAACUCCAUGUGUAGCGGUGAAAUGCGUAGAUAUAUGGAAGAACACCAGUGGCGAAGGCGGCUGUCUGGUCUGUAACUGACGCUGAGGCUCGAAAGCAUGGGUAGCGAACAGGAUUAGAUACCCUGGUAGUCCAUGCCGUAAACGAUGAAUGCUAGGUGUUGGAGGGUUUCCGCCCUUCAGUGCCGCAGCUAACGCAUUAAGCAUUCCGCCUGGGGAGUACGACCGCAAGGUUGAAACUCAAAGGA